GUAGCUCAGCGGGAGAGCACCUCGUUCACACCGAGGGGGUCACAGGUUCAAUCCCUGUCGCAUCCACCA
rnacentral:tRNA from 1 species